rnacentral:lncRNA from 1 species
GUUCUUAUGUGAUUAUGGUGUUGAAACUAGUCAAAAAGUCCUUAAAAUCGAGAUUUGCAUUAGGAUGUAUGAAACAAGUGUUAAACAUAUUAUAACACACAAAUCAUUUCUAGAAAUAUGACCAAAUGAAACAAGUGUUAAACAUAUUAUUACACACAAAUCAUUUCUAGAAAAAUAACCAAGUUAGUUAAUAUGAACUCAUUGGGCUAACAAUCCCAUUUUUGGACUCAAAAUGUUGAAAAUAUAAGGUUAAAGGGCCCAAAAUGACAAAAUACAAAUUCUGAUGGAUGAAAUGAGUCAAAACAGUUUCAAUAAGGUAUUUUUCUGGAAAUAUUCUCUUUGAAGGAUUAAAUGUGAAAUUUUUAAGCAUAAUGGGCCAAAAAU